UGAGGAAUAUUGGGCAAUGCCCGCAAGGGUGACCCAGCAACGCCGCGUGGAGGAUGAAUGUCGUAAGAUUGUAAACUCCUGUUAGAGGGGAAGAAUAGUACCGGUUGGACCGGUAUAUGACUGUACCCUCAGAGAAAGCCCCGGCUAACUACGUGCCAGCAGCCGCGGUAAUACGUAGGGGGCAAGCGUUGUCCGGAUUUACUGGGUGUAAAGGGCGCGCAGGCGGGAUAAAAAGUCAGUGGUGAAAUCCUACAGCUUAACUGUAGAACUGCCUUUGAUACUUUUAUUCUUGAGUGCGGGAGAGAGAGACGGAAUUCCAGGUGUACUGGUGAAAUACGUAGAUAUCUGGAAGAACACCAGUUGCGAAGGCGGUCUCUUGGUCCGACACUGACGCUGAGGCGCGAAAGCGUGGGGAGCAAACA
rnacentral:rRNA from 1 species